rnacentral:tRNA from 1 species
GCCAGGGUGGCGGAAUUGGCAGACGCGCGGGACUCAAAAUCCCGUGGUCCUUACGGACCGUGCGGGUUCGACUCCCGCCCUUGGCACCA